UGUGGGAGCGAGCCUGCUCGCGAAAGCGUUCUGUCAGUUGGUGAAAUCCUGGCUGACACACCGCAUUCGCGAGCAGGCUCGCUCCCACA
rnacentral:antisense_RNA from 1 species